rnacentral:rRNA from 1 species
CAGCACCUCAAGUGGUCAGGAUGAUUAUUGGGCCUAAAGCAUCCGUAGCCGGCGCUGUAAGUUUUCGGUUAAAUCUGUACGCUCAACGUACAGGCUGCCGGGAAUACUGCAGCGCUAGGGAGUGGGAGAGGUAGACGGUACUCGGUAGGAAGGGGUAAAAUUCUUUGAUCUAUUGAUGACCACCUGUGGCGAAGGCGGUCUACCAGAACACGUCCGACGGUGAGGGAUGAAAGCUGGGGGAGCAAACCGGAUUAGAUACCCGAGUAGUCC